GGUUAAGCGACUAAGCGUACACGGUGGAUGCCCUGGCAGUCAGAGGCGAUGAAGGACGUGCUAAUCUGCGAUAAGCGUCGGUAAGGUGAUAUGAACCGUUAUAACCGGCGAUUUCCGAAUGGGGAAACCCAGUGUGUUUCGACACACUAUCAUUAACUGAAUCCAUAGGUUAAUGAGGCGAACCGGGGGAACUGAAACAUCUAAGUACCCCGAGGAAAAGAAAUCAACCGAGAUUCCCCCAGUAGCGGCGAGCGAACGGGGAGCAGCCCAGAGCCUGAAUCAGUGUGUGUGUUAGUGGAAGCGUCUGGAAAGGCGCGCGAUACAGGGUGACAGCCCCGUACACAAAAAUGCACAUGCUGUGAGCUCGAUGAGUAGGGCGGGACACGUGGUAUCCUGUCUGAAUAUGGGGGGACCAUCCUCCAAGGCUAAAUACUCCUGACUGACCGAUAGUGAACCAGUACCGUGAGGGAAAGGCGAAAAGAACCCCGGCGAGGGGAGUGAAAAAGAACCUGAAACCGUGUACGUACAAGCAGUGGGAGCACGCUUAGGCGUGUGACUGCGUACCUUUUGUAUAAUGGGUCAGCGACUUAUAUUCUGUAGCAAGGUUAACCGAAUAGGGGAGCCGAAGGGAAACCGAGUCUUAACUGGGCGUUAAGUUGCAGGGUAUAGACCCGAAACCCGGUGAUCUAGCCAUGGGCAGGUUGAAGGUUGGGUAACACUAACUGGAGGACCGAACCGACUAAUGUUGAAAAAUUAGCGGAUGACUUGUGGCUGGGGGUGAAAGGCCAAUCAAACCGGGAGAUAGCUGGUUCUCCCCGAAAGCUAUUUAGGUAGCGCCUCGUGAAUUCAUCUCCGGGGGUAGAGCACUGUUUCGGCAAGGGGGUCAUCCCGACUUACCAACCCGAUGCAAACUGCGAAUACCGGAGAAUGUUAUCACGGGAGACACACGGCGGGUGCUAACGUCCGUCGUGAAGAGGGAAACAACCCAGACCGCCAGCUAAGGUCCCAAAGUCAUGGUUAAGUGGGAAACGAUGUGGGAAGGCCCAGACAGCCAGGAUGUUGGCUUAGAAGCAGCCAUCAUUUAAAGAAAGCGUAAUAGCUCACUGGUCGAGUCGGCCUGCGCGGAAGAUGUAACGGGGCUAAACCAUGCACCGAAGCUGCGGCAGCGACGCUUAUGCGUUGUUGGGUAGGGGAGCGUUCUGUAAGCCUGUGAAGGUGUGCUGUGAGGCAUGCUGGAGGUAUCAGAAGUGCGAAUGCUGACAUAAGUAACGAUAAAGCGGGUGAAAAGCCCGCUCGCCGGAAGACCAAGGGUUCCUGUCCAACGUUAAUCGGGGCAGGGUGAGUCGACCCCUAAGGCGAGGCCGAAAGGCGUAGUCGAUGGGAAACAGGUUAAUAUUCCUGUACUUGGUGUUACUGCGAAGGGGGGACGGAGAAGGCUAUGUUGGCCGGGCGACGGUUGUCCCGGUUUAAGCGUGUAGGCUGGUUUUCCAGGCAAAUCCGGAAAAUCAAGGCUGAGGCGUGAUGACGAGGCACUACGGUGCUGAAGCAACAAAUGCCCUGCUUCCAGGAAAAGCCUCUAAGCAUCAGGUAACAUCAAAUCGUACCCCAAACCGACACAGGUGGUCAGGUAGAGAAUACCAAGGCGCUUGAGAGAACUCGGGUGAAGGAACUAGGCAAAAUGGUGCCGUAACUUCGGGAGAAGGCACGCUGAUAUGUAGGUGAAGUCCCUCGCGGAUGGAGCUGAAAUCAGUCGAAGAUACCAGCUGGCUGCAACUGUUUAUUAAAAACACAGCACUGUGCAAACACGAAAGUGGACGUAUACGGUGUGACGCCUGCCCGGUGCCGGAAGGUUAAUUGAUGGGGUUAGCCGCAAGGCGAAGCUCUUGAUCGAAGCCCCGGUAAACGGCGGCCGUAACUAUAACGGUCCUAAGGUAGCGAAAUUCCUUGUCGGGUAAGUUCCGACCUGCACGAAUGGCGUAAUGAUGGCCAGGCUGUCUCCACCCGAGACUCAGUGAAAUUGAACUCGCUGUGAAGAUGCAGUGUACCCGCGGCAAGACGGAAAGACCCCGUGAACCUUUACUAUAGCUUGACACUGAACAUUGAGCCUUGAUGUGUAGGAUAGGUGGGAGGCUUAGAAGUGUGGACGCCAGUCUGCAUGGAGCCGACCUUGAAAUACCACCCUUUAAUGUUUGAUGUUCUAACGUUGACCCGUAAUCCGGGUUGCGGACAGUGUCUGGUGGGUAGUUUGACUGGGGCGGUCUCCUCCUAAAGAGUAACGGAGGAGCACGAAGGUUGGCUAAUCCUGGUCGGACAUCAGGAGGUUAGUGCAAUGGCAUAAGCCAGCUUGACUGCGAGCGUGACGGCGCGAGCAGGUGCGAAAGCAGGUCAUAGUGAUCCGGUGGUUCUGAAUGGAAGGGCCAUCGCUCAACGGAUAAAAGGUACUCCGGGGAUAACAGGCUGAUACCGCCCAAGAGUUCAUAUCGACGGCGGUGUUUGGCACCUCGAUGUCGGCUCAUCACAUCCUGGGGCUGAAGUAGGUCCCAAGGGUAUGGCUGUUCGCCAUUUAAAGUGGUACGCGAGCUGGGUUUAGAACGUCGUGAGACAGUUCGGUCCCUAUCUGCCGUGGGCGCUGGAGAACUGAGGGGGGCUGCUCCUAGUACGAGAGGACCGGAGUGGACGCAUCACUGGUGUUCGGGUUGUCAUGCCAAUGGCACUGCCCGGUAGCUAAAUGCGGAAGAGAUAAGUGCUGAAAGCAUCUAAGCACGAAACUUGCCCCGAGAUGAGUUCUCCCUGACUCCCUGAGAGUCCUGAAGGAACGUUGAAGACGACGACGUUGAUAGGCCGGGUGUGUAAGCGCAGCGAUGCGUUGAGCUAACCGGUACUAAUGAACCGUGAGGCUUAACCUU
rnacentral:rRNA from 1 species